rnacentral:lncRNA from 1 species
AAGGAGUCAUCGAGAGAGAGGCGGGGACUUGUGAUCAGUCUAUAAUAGUUAUCCCCAUGGUUAUGGAUUGGACCCAUGCACCGAAGUGCCGAAGUCAGCCUGCCAAAACUGACCCAAGUACAAAUGAUUGAGAGAAAUGACACUUUGAGUGAUAGAAAUAUUUUACUUUAUUAAUUUGCAAGAUUUAUUACAAGAUUUACAAAAACUAAUCUUUAUUACAAUGCUCAUACUCCGUGACAAGCUC